GGUGACUCUAUUGGUCCCCUCGCGACGAUAGAUUGUGAACCCCGUCAGGCCCGGAAGGGAGCAGCGGUAGCAGUUGAUGCGGGCGCCGGGGUGUGGCUCUUAGAGUCGCCGCCCAACU
rnacentral:SRP_RNA from 3 species